rnacentral:lncRNA from 1 species
AUAUUAACUUUAAAUGUAAAUGGGCUAAAUGCUCCAAUUAAAAGACACAGACUGGCAAACUGGAUAAAGAGUCAAGACCCAUCAGUGUGCUGUAUUCAGGAAACCCAUCUCACAUGCAGAGACACAUAUAGACUCAAAAUAAAGGGAUGGAGGAAGAUCUACCGUUCAGAGAACAUUAAGCAGCAUAAAUACACACACACACGCACACACCCACACACCCACACACCCACCCAUACAUGUCAUAUUCAAACUGUUUAAAAAAAAAGAUAAAGGGAUAAUUUUGAA